rnacentral:rRNA from 1 species
GAUGAACGCUGGCGGCGUGCCUAAUACAUGCAAGUCGAGCGAACGGACGAGAAGCUUGCUUCUCUGAUGUUAGCGGCGGACGGGUGAGUAACACGUGGAUAACCUACCUAUAAGACUGGGAUAACUUCGGGAAACCGGAGCUAAUACCGGAUAAUAUUUUGAACCGCAUGGUUCAAAAGUGAAAGACGGUCUUGCUGUCACUUAUAGAUGGAUCCGCGCUGCAUUAGCUAGUUGGUAAGGUAACGGCUUACCAAGGCAACGAUGCAUAGCCGACCUGAGAGGGUGAUCGGCCACACUGGAACUGAGACACGGUCCAGACUCCUACGGGAGGCAGCAGUAGGGAAUCUUCCGCAAUGGGCGAAAGCCUGACGGAGCAACGCCGCGUGAGUGAUGAAGGUCUUCGGAUCGUAAAACUCUGUUAUUAGGGAAGAACAUAUGUGUAAGUAACUGUGCACAUCUUGACGGUACCUAAUCAGAAAGCCACGGCUAACUACGUGCCAGCAGCCGCGGUAAUACGUAGGUGGCAAGCGUUAUCCGGAAUUAUUGGGCGUAAAGCGCGCGUAGGCGGUUUUUUAAGUCUGAUGUGAAAGCCCACGGCUCAACCGUGGAGGGUCAUUGGAAACUGGAAAACUUGAGUGCAGAAGAGGAAAGUGGAAUUCCAUGUGUAGCGGUGAAAUGCGCAGAGAUAUGGAGGAACACCAGUGGCGAAGGCGACUUUCUGGUCUGUAACUGACGCUGAUGUGCGAAAGCGUGGGGAUCAAACAGGAUUAGAUACCCUGGUAGUCCACGCCGUAAACGAUGAGUGCUAAGUGUUAGGGGGUUUCCGCCCCUUAGUGCUGCAGCUAACGCAUUAAGCACUCCGCCUGGGGAGUACGACCGCAAGGUUGAAACUCAAAGGAAUUGACGGGGACCCGCACAAGCGGUGGAGCAUGUGGUUUAAUUCGAAGCAACGCGAAGAACCUUACCAAAUCUUGACAUCCUUUGACAACUCUAGAGAUAGAGCCUUCCCCUUCGGGGGACAAAGUGACAGGUGGUGCAUGGUUGUCGUCAGCUCGUGUCGUGAGAUGUUGGGUUAAGUCCCGCAACGAGCGCAACCCUUAAGCUUAGUUGCCAUCAUUAAGUUGGGCACUCUAAGUUGACUGCCGGUGACAAACCGGAGGAAGGUGGGGAUGACGUCAAAUCAUCGUGCCCCUUAUGAUUUGGGCUACACACGUGCUACAAUGGACAAUACAAAGGGCAGCGAAACCGCGAGGUCAAGCAAAUCCCAUAAAGUUGUUCUCAGUUCGGAUUGUAGUCUGCAACUCGACUACAUGAAGCUGGAAUCGCUAGUAAUCGUAGAUCAGCAUGCUACGGUGAAUACGUUCCCGGGUCU